UACGGAGGGUGCAAACGUUGCUCGGAAUCAUUGGGCGUAAAGCGCACGUAGGCGGCUCGUUAAGUCGGAUGUGAAAUCCCUGGGCUCAACCCAGGAAGUGCAUUCGAAACUGGCGAGCUUGAAUAUGGAAGAGGGUCGCGGAAUUCCCGGUGUAGAGGUGAAAUUCGUAGAUAUCGGGAGGAACACCAGUGGCGAAGGCGGCGACCUGGGCCAAUAUUGACGCUGAGGUGCGAAAGCGUGGGGAGCAAACAGGAUUGAGAUACCCGA
rnacentral:rRNA from 1 species